UCUUCAUAGCUCUGUUUUUUCUGUCUUUUACGUUGUUGUUUUCUGUUUUUUCUGAAUCAAAUGUUUACUCGAAGGAAAAAUAUAAAUUUCGAAGGUGUUGAGCUCCUAAAUUGACUCUGCCUAUUGCCCAUCGACACCUGCUGACUGUCUGUUGUCGCCUUGGACGAAGCGGAAAAUUCUUUAGUCAAAUCGUCAAAAGCUUCGACUGGAAAAUCAGCUUAAAUGUCUAAAAAUACCGAAAAUUACUCGCAAAUGGGUGCUAGAAGAGAAAUCAGCGUAAUUUUCCGACCACCUCUUGUUCCACCGGGCGUCUGAUAGUUGAACUGAGACCCAGUGAUUAGGCAAAAAAAGUUCCGUAGAUUUGUGCGGCUUCAAACGCACACAUGUAUAUGUGUAUAUGUACAUAUAUGACAGCUUAUUGGUACAUAUGUAUGUGUGACUGUUUCGGAAAAGUUUGGCAACUUCUAAAGUACAUCUAAAUCUCGCAGCGAAAGGUGCCAACAUUAUCAAAAUGUGAUUGCGUAAACGACCAGAAACAAAUACAGCAAACAGACGUACACAACAAUAACAACAACAAUACACACACAAUUCAGCCAGUGUGGGCCAGUGCCGGCGCUGAGGGUUGAAAAGCCAUUGGGUAUUUGAUUUGUUUUGUUCAAUGUUCUUCAGAUAAAAGUAAGAAGUUUAUAUCUUCCACGGCAUAACGGCAUAUCGGCUCUUAGUCACUGUCAGCAGCAAAUCUUCAAUUUUAUAUAAGACAACACAAUAAAUUUCGGCGGAAAAAUUUGUUUGCUUUACGAUUUGUUUAGGUGAAAAAUCUAGUACUUUUCCAUGCCGCCCAAACACUUGACGAAAUGCUACUCAGGUGGACGCACCGCCGAGGCCUAGACGCUGCGCUUGUAUGAACUAUUUCGCAGGGCAGCGUGUUUUUUUCCAGUUGGAAUGGUCGGCAAUUAUGAGGUGUGAUUGCGUCCGAUGCGCGAACGAUGAGUGGAUAUGGUCUCCAGCGGGGCGCCGCGCAUAUCUCAAAUGAUUUUAUCAUUGAUCAUCAAUCCACGAAAAUUAACAAAGAAUCUAGUGAACGAGGACAACAAAA